rnacentral:rRNA from 1 species
UUCUGAAUGGGGAAACCCACGUGCAUAAGCACGUAUCCUUACCUGAAUACAUAGGGUAAGGAGGCGAACCGGGGGAACUGAAACAUCUAAGUACCCCGAGGAAAAGAAAUCAACCGAGAUUCCGAAAGUAGCGGCGAGCGAAAUUGGACUAGCCCUUAAGCUUUACACGCGUUAGACGAACGGUCUGGAAAGUCCGACGAUACAGGGUGAUAGUCCCGUAGUUGACGACGUGUGUUCAGUGAAAUCGAGUAGGGCGGGACACGUGAUAUCCUGUCUGAAUAUGGGGGGACCAUCCUCCAAGGCUAAAUACU